ensembl:snoRNA SNORD31 Small nucleolar RNA SNORD31
CUUUUUAAUGAUGACAUUUAUCGCCCCAGUCUGAUGUGUUAUGACUGAUUGAUGAUUCUGAUAAAUC